ensembl:miRNA Mir7662 microRNA 7662
AGGGCUGAGGCCCGGAUCCAGCAUACUGCUUCAGAGCUGGAGCCAGGCAGAUCAGCCUUGC